GACGGAGGGUGCAAGCGUUAUCCGGAUUCACUGGGUUUAAAGGGUGCGUAGGUGGGUAUGUAAGUCAGUGGUGAAAUCCCCGAGCUUAACUUGGGAACUGCCGUUGAUACUAUAUAUCUUGAAUAUCGCGUAGGUAAGCGGAAUAUGUCAUGUAGCGGUGAAAUGCUUAGAUAUGACAUAGAACACCAAUUGCGAAGGCAGCUUACUUCACGAUCAUUGACACUGAGGCACGAAAGCGUGGGGAGCAAACAGG
rnacentral:rRNA from 1 species